rnacentral:misc_RNA from 1 species
AACGCACAUUGCACUCUAUUCUGUAGAGUAUGCCUGUUUGAGAAUCUAUAGUAUUUCUUUUAGAAAUUGUUUUCAGUUUCUAAAGAUAUGAGGAGUCUCUGUUUUACGACAGAGUACCUUGAAAUAGAUUAUCUGCAGUAGAGUUGAUGCUUGACGUCUCUCAAACAACAGAACAGUAUUUGAAUGGUUCUUUAACCUCGAUGCCUAAUAAGUUGUCUGGAGAAUUAGUUGACAAAACUGUGGAUCCAACCUAGAGAGCUAUGCUCUGAACCUUGGUCUCAAAUCAGGUAGGAAGACCCGCUGAACUUAA